rnacentral:lncRNA from 1 species
AGACAGGCUCCUGGAGUGCAUGGGGCUUCUGACCAGCACCUACUGUCAUAGUAGCCAGCAAUAACCAGUGGCCAGCACUUUACUCUUUCAUCUCUUCUUGGGUGACUUUGUAGUAGAAUGCCUCUAGUGAGACAUCUCCCUGUGAACAGCUUUCCCAGCACCCUAAAGAAUGGAUUUCCAGCAAAUUCCAGAAAGCAGAUUUCCAGCAUAUUUGGCACAUGUGUGGCUGGAGAGUGCCUAUGGGUUGAUUCCUUUGUGAAUUACAUGGAGCUGACACAGCUGAAACCCACUAUGACCCAGAUGAGGACAGAAGCUUGUGCUGGAAGAGUGGCUGUGUCCCUAUGUGACAAGGCCUGAGAUGUCCUAAGGACUGUAUACCUCAGUGGGUUUGGACUAAACCACCAGAAUGCACAGCCAUCCUGCAUUCACUUCUCUCACCUCUCCAGCACCAUACUAAUAACGCCCA